rnacentral:rRNA from 1 species
UACGUAGGGCGCAAGCGUUAUCCGGAAUUAUUGGGCGUAAAGAGCUCGUAGGCGGUUUGUCGCGUCUGCCGUGAAAGUCCGGGGCUCAACCUCCGGAUCUGCGGUGGGUACGGGCAGACUAGAGUGAUGUAGGGGAGACUGGAAUUCCUGGUGUAGCGGUGAAAUGCGCAGAUAUCAGGAGGAGCACCGAUGGCGAAGGCAGGUCUCUGGGCAUUAACUGACGCUGAGGAGCGAAAGCAUGGGGAGCGAACAGG